rnacentral:tRNA from 1 species
GGAUGUAGCUCAGUGGUAGAACACUGGCCUAGCAAGCACAAGACCCCAGGUUCAAUUCCCAGCAUUGACA